rnacentral:rRNA from 1 species
AUUGAACGCUGGCGGCAGGCCUAACACAUGCAAGUCGAACGAGUGGCGGACGGGUGAGUAACGUCUGGGAAACUGCCUGAUGGAGGGGGAUAAAUACUGGAAAAGGUAGCUAAUACCGCAUACCAUCAGAUGUGCCCAGAUGGGAUUAGCUAGUUGGUGGGGUAACGGCUCACCAAGGCGACGACCCCUAGCUGGUCUGAGAGGAUGACCAGCAAAACGGGAACGGAGACACGGUCCGGACUCCUACGGAGGGCAGCGGGGGGGAAUAUUGCACAAUGGGGGCAAGCCUGAUGCGGCCAUGCGGGGUGUAGGAAGAAGGCCUUGGGGUUGUAAAGUACUUUCAGCGGGGAGGCGUUACCCGCAGAGGAAGCACCGGCUAACUCCGUGCCAGCAGCCGCGGUAAUAC